CACACAGAACCACGCGAGACCUCAAAACGAUAAGUUGUUGGCAAUAUGGCGGCACAGAGUAGAAUAUUGAUUACGUUUUAAGGGAGGCAGGGGUUUUAGGCAGGAUUUGAUGCAUGAUGUGUGUGUAAAUAUUAAAGUUAGGGGACAAUAGGAGAGUGUACGUUUUAGUAGGAAAACGUAUUAUCUGACCCACACUCCGGAACAGAAGAGGGCGGUAUUGCACCAAUAACUGGAUGCCAACCGCCGUUAAACUGGAAAGAAGACGAAAAUGACAGCUUGCUGUGAGAGACAACGGGACAGAUGAGACACACGUGUGUUUAUCUGCUGUAGAGUAACUGAUGAAGGAAUCCUGCCAUCAAAGGAUUUGUGUAGUUGUGCUCAUGGGUUGCAGGCACACGAAAGUUUGGAGCAGACACAGCAGUCAGAUUGUCCUGCACGUGUUCCCCUGCUCUCGCUUCAAGGUUGUGUGGAUCAGAGAGCCGACAUCAAGGUCUUCCUCAUCCUGUUGCUCAACGACAUCCCCGUUGAGAAGAGUGAGAUUGUGAAGUGCAGCAGCAGAACUGUAUCAGCUGUGUUCAGAUGGCAGGAGGAUGUGGGGUUCACCAUCUGUAAAUACUUGAUUGUUAGAACAAUAAGUUUGAAUGAAGCUUUGUAUCAUGUGUUGUUGACUUGUACAUGUAUGCAUUUAUUGUGAUGCUAACUUUUAUACAUUAUUUUAAUCAUUUAGACAUGUUUUUUA